rnacentral:rRNA from 1 species
GACGAACGCUGGCGGCGUGCUUAACACAUGCAAGUCGAACGGAAAGGCCCUGCUUUUGUGGGGUGCUCGAGUGGCGAACGGGUGAGUAACACGUGAGUAACCUGCCCUUGACUUUGGGAUAACUUCAGGAAACUGGGGCUAAUACCGGAUAGGAGCUCCUGCUGCAUGGUGGGGGUUGGAAAGUUUCGGCGGUUGGGGAUGGACUCGCGGCUUAUCAGCUUGUUGGUGGGGUAGUGGCUUACCAAGGCUUUGACGGGUAGCCGGCCUGAGAGGGUGACCGGCCACAUUGGGACUGAGAUACGGCACAAACUCCUAAGGGAGGCAGCAGUGGGGAAUAUUGCACAAUGGGCGGAAGCCUGAUGCAGCAACGCCGCGUGCGGGAUGACGGCCUUCGGGUUGUAAACCGCUUUCGCCUGUGACGAAGCGUGGGUGACGGUAAUGGGUAAAGAAGCACCGGCUAACUACGUG